UUUAAGCGUAAAAAGCCCUUGCUUUAAUAAACGCGCAUCACUUAGCAUUUAUAAAAGUGGUUUCCUAUUUUUCGCUGCGCCUGUGCCCUUUAGCGAGCGCUUUUUGCUCUUUUGACUACAUUGGGCCAACGGUUACACUAUUCAUCCUAAAUAGUAUUUAGUAAAUAUUCAAUUUAUAUUAUAUUACACACUAUUCGAUAAAUAUUAAAUUUAUUUUAUAUAAUUAAUGUUUAUAAAUUAAUAUUAAUAUAGUAAUAUUAAGUUCAACAUUUAUAUAUUAAAGUAAUAUUACCUUAAUAAAUAUAAUCCAUUAUAAAUUAAUUUUAGUAUGUUAGCUUUAGGCUCGACUCAUUUGCUAUCAAAGUUUUGCUACUUAUCGACAUCUUCUUGAGCUAGUUAGAGCACUUCUUUUUCAAAUGAAGAUACCUAAAUGUUUUUGGGCUGACGCAGUUUCUACAAAUUGCUUUUUGAUCAAUCGUAUGCCCUCUUCUGUUCUCAAUGGUGAAAUUCCUUAUACCCUUUUCUUUCCCACAAAAUCUUUAUUUUCUAUUAAACCCCAUAUAUUUGGUAGUACUUGUUUUGUGCGAGAUGUUCCUCCACAGAUUUCUAAAUUGGAUCCAAAGUCU
rnacentral:misc_RNA from 1 species